CUUGCUCCUUCCGCUGUCUCGCGCGAUCUGGGUGCCGGUGCACGGAACUCUCGCGAGGAAGGAGGGAACCGAUGACCCUAGGUUGGCUGACAUCAGUCGCUAGACCCGCAGCCCGCAGGCCCCGUUAGUCCCUGAACUGGCUUUCAUGGCCCAAGGUGUCUGUCAGUACUGCUGGGAAAGCUGCCUGUCCUGGACAUUUGCCAUCUGCUGCACCCAGUCCCGAGACCCCAACUCGGUCAUCCGAAGAAGCCACAUCUCUGGACAGCCCAGGAUCACCAGACACCUGAGAAAGAAGAAAAGGGACUCAGAAGAAACAGAGACGAUAAAGGAAGCCGAAGAAAAAUGAAAACUAAAAUGCCAUUCUCAGUCAAUAAAAAGGAACUGGGGGCUAUAGAGAAAGAAACCUCGGGAUGAGAAAGAGCUCUUAGAAAUAAAACAUGAGGGGAAAGUGAGCAAUUCAAUAGGCUUUUAAGAUGAAGUCUUCCAGAAUGUAUAAUGACAGAACCAGAUAGCUGGAAAACAGAAUAGCAGUAACACAGGUGGGUGCUCUUAGGGCUAGCCUGGCACACAAGGCCUCCACAAUGGAGGGGGUGGAUGGGAGGUGGGGGGCUGGUCUGCCACCACCACCAGGGGAAGCCACAGGCACCACCCUCUGGGGACAGCUUCCCUUGGCAAUAAUGUGCACGCAGGAUGCAUGGUGCCCAGGACUGUUCUUACACACAUUCAUUCAUGGGAUCCUCACAACCCAGUGCUAUGCAAUGGAUACAGCUGUUACCCCAUUUUUACUGAUGGGCAACAUCACAAGGCAGGGAGCAGCAGUAGAAUGGCUCCAGAGCCUGUGUUCUUGCCACCACCAUGACUGCAUCUCAAAAGAGAAGUCCAGGUCAGGCACAGUGGCUCAUGCCUGCCUUCCCAGCACUUCAGGAGGCUGAGGCAGGAGUAUCACUUGGGCCCAGGGGUUCAAGACCAGCUUGGGCAAUAUAGUGAGGCCACGUCUCUACAAAAAGUAAUUUUAAAAAACCAGCUGGGCAUGGUGGCACACGCCUGUAGUCCUAGCUACUAGAGAGGCUAAGGUGGGAGGAUUGCUGGAGCCCAGAAGGUGGAGGUUGCAGUGCCCUGUGAUCACACCACUGCACUCCAGCCUGGGUGACAGAGCCAGACCCUGUCUCAAAAAAACAACAAAAACUCAACAGAAGUCCAACAUCUAAAUAAAUUGUCCAGAAAAUAAGGAAAUGAGAGAAAUCAGCAGAGAUAAAUCAAGAAAAUUUCCUAGAACCAAACAGUCAUGUUUUCUGAACAAUGGGUGAAAGGGAAGUUGUAUAUCAAGACACAUCAUUGAGAAUUACCCAAGUAAUGGGGCAAAGAAAAAGAAGAGAUCAUAGGUAAAGAGUCAGAAUUCAGGAAGGCACAAGAGUUCUUGGAACUAGAAGAAAAUGACACAAUACCCUUGAAAUCCUGGGAAUAAAUGAUUUUCAACCAAGCCAAGCUUUUUGUAGCUAGUCGCACUGUUAAGCAUAUGUGAGGUUAGCAUAAAGACUGUGGGGAAAAGCAAGAGAGAUCAGAUUGUUACUGUGUCUGUGUAGAAAGUAGUAGACAUAGGAGACUCCAUUUUGUUUUGUACUAAGGAAAAUUCUUCUGCCUUGAGACUCUGUUAAUCUAUGACCUUACCCCCAACCCCGUGCUCUCUGAAACAUGUGCUGUG
rnacentral:lncRNA from 1 species